rnacentral:rRNA from 1 species
AAGGGCACCACAAGAACGCGUGGAGCAUGUGGCUUAAUUUGACUCAACGCGGGAAAUCUUACCGGGUCCGGACACACUGAGGAUUGACAGGCAAUAUUAAUAUCCUAUACGGCAUAUUAUGUUAAAUAUGCUAGUCCUUUCAUGAUCAUGUGAUAGGUGGUGCAUGGCCGUUCUUAGUUCGUGGAGUGAUCUGUCUGCUUAAUUGCGUUUCACUACGGGCCUAUAUAUAAUAUAUGUGUGAUGCUUCAUAUGCGCGCAUUGAGACCCACUGCUGCUUUACUGUAGUCUGCUGCGUGUCUCAUGUAUUUAUGCGUAUAUUCUAGCUCGCAUAGCUUUUAGACCCUGAAAGCAACGAACGUGACCGCAACCUCUUGUUGCCUUUAAUAAUAAUAUCUAGCAUGCGUGUGUAAUAAUUUAUUGUUACGUGCGUGUGUGAAUAUAUAUAUAUAGAGGCCGCUUAUAAACUAGAGGGACCGCUGCUACUUUCUUAAACCAGAGGAAGGUUGCGGCAAUAACAGGUCUGUGAUGCCCUUAGAUGUUCCGGGCUGCACACGUGCUACAAUGAUUAUUGCAGUGAGCAUCUCAUUUUUUAUACACCGCCGGCACGUAUAACUUACGCCUUAUAUACUUUACGUAUGUAUGCGUGUAGUGUUAUUUCGCGCGCGGUAAAGCCUGCUUCGACAGUAAGUGGGUAAUCAAUUAGAAGUAAUGAUUUCCGUAUAUGCACAACUAUAUAUGCGCGUCUCAUGCCCUGGCCAUUAGCUUUGUCUUGUGCGCCCAGUGUUUGUAUGUAACGCAUGCAUAUGUGCAAUUGUCAAUUCGUGGUGGGGACAGACCAUUGUUAAUUGUUGGUCUCGGUCUUAACUGGGAAUGCCUUGUACGGGUCUUUGGUUCAACAAACCACCCGGAAUACGUCCCUGCCCUUUGUACACACCGCCCGUCGCUCUUACCGAUGGACUUCUCUGUGAGUUUGAGGGACUGUACGGAAACUUAAACGAACAGUGUGGUCUAAAGGAAAGAGAAGU